GUCUAGCAGUGGAAUCCAAGACACACGUUUCGUCUUAUUUGGGACUCAUCAGCUGGAUGUACUUGCACAAGCUAGCAUCUAUCAGUGCUCAGUAGCUAAACAGAUAACACGAUAGCGUUUGAAGUGAACGGUAAUGGGUUAGAGUCUCGGAGUGAACAUCAAAUUUGAGAUGCUAGUAAAUCCAGCUUACCACACCCAAAUAGGACGAAACGCGUGUCCUGGAU
rnacentral:hammerhead_ribozyme from 1 species